GGCGGCGGGUAGCCUGCUCGCCCGGGCGGCAGACGCUCCGAGAUGCCGAAGGGCCAGCAGCGGCCUCGAAGCUCCGGGCUGGCCGCGCUGUCGCUCUGCCGUGUCCCGGUCUGGAAGUGAAGGUGCCUCUUCCUGGCUAGCCCACCUACCUGCAGUCAUCCCUGGGCUUCUGUAACUCUCAGUCUUUGUGGCUGCACCCUUCCCUUCUGAAUCCUGAGGACCCAUGAGUGUCAGGCCCAUCAUGAAAUUGGUCUUCUUACUGGGUCUUUCCCCUGCAGCUUUCCCAAGACUGUACAGCAUUUAUUGGUGCUCAUCUGUUUGGGUAGAGCUGGCAUAGAGGACUGCCACCGGCUGGGAGGGGCCAUGGUGCCAGAGGUCUUGGGUGCCUGAAGAUGCUCCCCCUAGCCCUGAUGCCUUGGAAGAGGAGCCCUUCAAGACAAGCUGAUGCCAGGCCCUGGCCAGUGUGUGGCCUGCUCAGUGUGUGGGCCUGGGCCCCAUUGCUUGGGGGAGUUCCAUGAGUGUUAACAGGAUUCAAAGGAAGAGGUAGGCACUUAGGGGUGGUAUCCUGUUGGAAAGAUAUCAUUUGGAGAAGUGAGCGGGAGCUUGAAGCAAAGGGGUCUGUAUCCUGGGAAAGUCUGGUACCCUCUGAUACCUCUUUCCCCAUUGAUGCUGACUGAUCUUGCUUUUGGGCUGAUCUGUCAAGAAGACUGGCAUGUUUCCACGGGAGAUGUGUCUUUUUUUUCUCCCCAGUGCCCUCACUGUUGGUCAGUGGGCACUGUGAGGAUCAAGGCUACUGGAUACUGAGUAGCAACUCAGAAUCCAUCUCGGGGAGGUUCUGAGGGUCAGCCCGGGAUGGAGAGAGGCAGGUGGCACUUCUUGGUGGGUGUGGUAGCAGAGAAAUCCUAGAAGUUGCAACCGCACCCCUCCUCGUCUGGAGUGACAGGGGAGUGGCCUGAGCCCUGCUCCCCAGCUGUCCAAGGCAAACUGACUGGAGUCCAUCUGGCUGUCCCCACCAGAUCAGGCUCCCUUCCCAUCCUGGAACACCAAAGCUGCUAAGUCUGCAGAAAGCACAGCAGAGGGAUGCCUAGAUCAGGGGUCUACCUAGGCACACCUGGAGCUAAGCUGCAUGGGGGGGGGUGAGGGUGGGGAGAUGCCCAAGGGCAGCCAAGGGUACCUUCAAUGGCCUUUCUUCCUAGGUUCUAUGUAAUGGUGGCUACACACUUCCCUGAUGACUGUCAUUUAAGGCAUACAUAAUUCUCCUCCCAGAACCUGUCUCUUCAUUAUUAUCAUGGUCAUUUAUUCACAAUAUCCUCUGUCACUUUAGAAUAUAUUGCUUAUAGAAAGACCUGAGAAAUAUCUUGGCUUGCAUA